rnacentral:rRNA from 1 species
AUUGAACGCUGGCGGCAUGCCUUACACAUGCAAGUCGAACGGCAGCACGGGAGCAAUCCUGGUGGCGAGUGGCGAACGGGUGAGUAAAGUAUCGGAACGUGCCCAGUCGUGGGGGAUAACGUAGCGAAAGUUACGCUAAUACUGCAUACGAUCUAUGGAUGAAAGCGGGGGAUCGCAAGACCUCGCGCGAUUGGAGCGGCCGAUAUCAGAUUAGGUAGUUGGUGGGGUAAAGGCCCACCAAGCCGACGAUCUGUAGCUGGUCUGAGAGGACGACCAGCCACACUGGGACUGAGACACGGCCCAGACUCCUACGGGAGGCGGCAGUGGGAAUUUUGGACAAUGGGCGAAAGCCUGAUCCAGCCAUGCCGCGUGCAGGAUGAAGGCCUUCGGGUUGUAAACUGCUUUUGUACGGAACGAAAAGGACUGCCCUAAUACGGUGGUCCCAUGACGGUACCGUAAGAAUAAGCACCGGCUAACUACGUGCCAGCCGCCUCCGUAACAC